rnacentral:rRNA from 1 species
GGAUGAACGCUGGCGGCGUGCUUAACACAUGCAAGUCGAACGAAGCACUUUAUUUGAUUUCCUUCGGGACUGAUUAUUUUGUGACUGAGUGGCGGACGGGUGAGUAACGCGUGGGUAACCUGCCUUGUACAGGGGGAUAACAGUUGGAAACGGCUGCUAAUACCGCAUAAGCGCACAGCAUCGCAUGAUGCAGUGUGAAAAACUCCGGUGGUAUAAGAUGGACCCGCGUUGGAUUAGCUAGUUGGUGAGGUAACGGCCCACCAAGGCGACGAUCCAUAGCCGACCUGAGAGGGUGACCGGCCACAUUGGGACUGAGACACGGCCCAAACUCCUGCGGGAGGCAGCAGUGGGGAAUAUUGCACAAUGGGCGAAAGCCUGAUGCAGCGACGCCGCGUGAGCGAAGAAGUAUUUCGGUAUGUAAAGCUCUAUCAGCAGGGAAGAUAAUGACGGUACCUGACUAAGAAGCACCGGCUAAAUACGU